UUUCUGCCAUGUUCCCGAGCUCACCAGAGGGGUCACGGCUGGGCUGAAGGAUGACUUAUGCCAGUGCUCACAGGCACCUCCAGGGAAGGGCAAGUGGGGAGUGGAGGUGUUAAUACCUAAAUAUAUAGAACUGGGGAGUUAACCAGGACCAUCUUCCACCAGCUAUAUGCUCAGGGCUGGUGAGCUUCAUAUCCUACAGGUUCUGGCAAAAGUGAAAAUGACUUUUUCAGAGUGUCAGGUGUUUAUUAGAACUUACUGCAAGUACUAAUAGAGUCCCAGUAAUCAGAGAGCCCACAAGACCACUGAGUGGACUUCCCACAGCCCUAAGGAAACAGAUGCGGGCAGUCAGUGGGAGCCACUCACGCGCACUUGAAGGGCUCCUGACAGCCUUUCUCAGCACACAUCCUUUUCUGUUCUCUGUUUCACAGCAACUCUCUGAGGUCAGUGCUGCAGUCACCUUUCACAGAUGAGAACAUGGAGUCUCAGAGCGAUGGUGCAGCUUGCUCGAGGGCUCGCAGUUGGUAUUGGCAGAUACAGAAGCAGCUUUGAUUGGACUCAACACUCAACAAGGACUCGCAAAGGUCCCCUUGCCGAAAGGCUCUCUGGGGGCCGGGGUCCCCAGGCCUUGUUCUCUGGGGACAGCCCCAGGCCCUAACCUCUUGCUGCUUCUGCUGAGGAGAACAUCUCCCACAUCCUGGAAUGCAGCUUGGUGGCAGGGGGCUCAGAGGCUGCCAGGACCUCUCUCAGCAUGCUUGCUCCCCUCCUUGUACUGAGGUCUGACCUAACCUCGGACAUAGAAGCUGUGAGUGGGACUGCACGCCUCACCCUCCCCUCCUGGGCUCAGCAGGUACUGGGGUGUGGGCUUGAUAGCAUGGAUUCUGAGAGAAGCUCUGUCAGCCCCAGCUCUGACCGCAGCCCAGCCAAGCGGGUCUGGGAGGAGGGGCCCCAGUCCCAGGCCUGGGCCCCAUGUGCUCAUGAAUGUCUGGGCUGGGCGCCAAUCUUCCCCGUUACAGUUUGCAAGGUCAGGCUGGGGUCUGAGUCUACACCCAGGAGGCAGGGAUGGGAUGAGGUGGCCAGGAAGAGCCCCGCCCUUCCUCGGGCCCUUCUGACAAGAUGGAGGGUCCAUGAGAGCCACCAACAGCAGGUGGUCCAUGAGCUGAGCAAAACCCACCAGGGCUGGGGUGCCCUUAGCAGCCAAGCACCUAUUCUCCCCUUUCUUCCACCGACCACCCUUCCUCUGGGGAGCAGCCUCUCCUGGACAGGUGAUGGAGUUGCCAAUCACAGGACUCUGCCCCCGGGCAUCCUGAUGGACUGAGGGACAAGGGACAGGCUCAUGAUGAGAGGAUCAUGUAUUCCUCAGGGUAUUCCUCCUUCUCCGUGAGGUCUGCAGAAGAUGGUUCUAUGGUAACAAGGCUGCAGUCACACACUGUCCUGGGGGAAUAAACCCCAGAAGCAGAAAUGGAAGCAAGAGAAAGAGACGGUCCCAAAGGGCUGGCAUCUCCCACUGCAGGUGCCUCUAGUCAGCUCCCACCUGCCCCUCCCAAGACCCAACAAUUCCCCUUGUUCUGCCUUUGCUGUCUCAGUAGAAUUCUUACAGCUCACACUUUCUGAUAGAGAAGGCAAUGGCACCCCACUCCAGUACUCUUGCCUGGAAAAU
ensembl:lncRNA